UUUCCGUAGGUGAACCUGCGGAAGGAUCAUUAAUGAAUGAAUGUAGAGUUGGUUGUAGCUGGCCUCCCCGAGGCAUGUGCACACCUUCUCUUUCAUCCACACACCCCUGUGCACUUGUGAGACGGAUUGACCUCUCUCUCGGGGGGACGGUCCGUCUAUCAUAUACAAACUCUAUUUAAUAAAUCUGAAUGUCAUUUGAUGUAACGCAUCUUUGAACUAAGUUUCAACAACGGAUCUCUUGGCUCUCGCAUCGAUGAAGAACGCAGC
rnacentral:misc_RNA from 1 species